rnacentral:lncRNA from 1 species
AUAGGGAAAGCCUACUAUUUAGUAAUUCAGUUAAAAUGUAAAUGUCAUCACAGGAUAUCUUGAUUUAUGUCUUUGAGUGUGCUUUCCUUGUACCCGGUUUUUGAAAUUUGAGAUCUGUUGUUGUCGGAUGUCAUCACGGGGACUUCCAGAGAUAAAUCCUAUUUCUCUUACUAUACUGCACACUCCUUAAAAACGUACUAUUCUAUUCCUGGUACAACAGUUUCUCACAAAAUACCUACCUUGCAUCUUUCAAGAGAAAAUAUUUGUUGGAAGAAAGUAAGGACAGGAUUCUUAUCAUUUUGAACUCAAA